AAGUGAUAGACAAAUAAUUGACCAAAUUUCAAGAUCUCAAUCAAAUUGUCUUUAUAUUGACAUUGACAUCUUUUGAUUCAUACAGAAAACUAAAAAGAUGAUCUUUUCCUUCCUACUUUAUGAGUCACGUGUUUUAUUAUGGAAGUGGAUAUGAAUACUGGAAUAACCAUGGUUAUUUCCAUGCCUUAAGCUCUUUGCUUUGGGUUUCACACACCUGACAGAGGAAAUGAGAGUGGACAAUUCAAGCAGGUGGCUCAUGCUAACCAUUAAUUUUUCCAGACUAAGAAAUGGGAGGGUCCUGGGCUCUUAAAAAGCAACAUAGCCCUUAGUUUAGAACAUUCAUGAGAAGUAGGAGAGAAGGAAAAAGAUGAAGAUGGUGUAUUUUAGAGAAAAAGCUGUACUUGGUAAAGAGCAAAACCAACGAACCAACCAGAAAGAUUAAUAUUAUGGGGCAGAAGUCCAGCUUAACAGGAGCUAUAUGUAGUCUGAAUUUUGUCUUCGUAGAAGAUAACACUUCAAUUCAUCAGACUAGCUUGUUUGUGCUGUCUCCCUGAAUUCUUUUGUAUGGCGUCAGUUCUUGAAAAUGUUCUUCAGUCAUCUCUAACAGGAUUAUAGGAUUAUGAAGAUGAUCAUUCUCAGACACAGCCUUCAUUCAGGAGAGCUGACCCUUUGACUAAAGUGCAGCUUGCUAAAAAGGAUAGCACUUUGGUCAAGAUGCAUGUGCAUGUUUUCCACCAAGUCAUAAUUGACA
rnacentral:lncRNA from 1 species